rnacentral:rRNA from 1 species
CGCGGCCUAUCAGCUUGUUGGUGAGGUAACGGCUCACCAAGGCAUCGACGGGUAGCUGGUCUGAGAGGACGGUCAGCCACACUGGGACUGAGACACGGCCCAGACUCCUACGGGAGGCAGCAGUGGGGAAUCUUGCGCAAUGGGCGAAAGCCUGACGCAGCCACGCCGCGUGAGGGAUGAAGGCUUUCGGGUUGUAAACCUCUUUCAGCAGGGACGAAAAUGACGGUACCUGCAGAAGAAGGUCCGGCCAACUACGUGCCAGCAGCCGCGGUAACACGUAGGGACCAAGCGUUGUCCGGAUUUAUUGGGCGUAAAGAGCUCGUAGGCGGUUCAGUAAGUCAGGUGUGAAAGUCCAAGGCUCAACCUUGGAACGCCACUUGAUACUGCUGUGACUAGAGUCCGGUAGAGGAGUGUGGAAUUCCUGGUGUAGCGGUGAAAUGCGCAGAUAUCAGGAGGAACACCGACGGCGAAGGCAGCACUCUGGGCCGGUACUGACGCUGAGGAGCGAAAGCAUGGGGAGCGAACAGGAUUAGAUACCCUGGUAGUCCAUGCCGUAAACGUUGGGCACUAGGUGUGGGGCCUUAUCAACGGGUUCCGUGCCGUAGCUAACGCAUUAAGUGCCCCGCCUGGGGAGUACGG